rnacentral:rRNA from 1 species
GAUGAACGCUAGCGAUAGGCUUAACACAUGCAAGUCGAGGGACCGGCGCACGGGUGCGUAACGCGUAUGCAACUUGCCUCUCCGAGGGGGAUAACCCGUCGACAGACGGACUAAUACCGCGUACUGUGAGCUUUGCAUGCUUUCCAUUAGCUAGUUGGUGAGGUAACGGCUCACCAAGGCAACGAUGGGUAGGGGAACUGAGGGGCUGAACCCCCACACUGGUACUGAGACACGGACCAGACGCGUACGGGAGGCAGCAGUGAGGAAUAUUGGUCAAUGGGCGAGAGCCUGACCCAGCCAAGUCGCGUGAAGGAUGACUGUCUAUGGAUUGUAAACUUCUUUUGUAGGGGAAUAUGUACCCUACGAAUAAGCAUCGGCGAACUCCGUGCCAGCAGCCGCGGUAAUAC